CGGAGGAUCCAAGCGUUAUCCGGAAUCAUUGGGUUUAAAGGGUCCGUAGGCGGGUUUAUAAGUCAGUGGUGAAAGCCCAUCGCUCAACGAUGGAACGGCCAUUGAUACUGUAGAUCUUGAAUUAUUAGGAAGUAACUAGAAUAUGUAGUGUAGCGGUGAAAUGCUUAGAGAUUACAUGGAAUACCAAUUGCGAAGGCAGGUUACUACUAAUGGAUUGACGCUGAUGGACGAAAGCGUGGGUAGCGAACAGGAUUAGAUACCCUGGUAGUCCACGCCGUAAACGAUGGAUACUAGCUGUUCGGAGCAAUCUGAGUGGCUAAGCGAAAGUGAUAAGUAUCCCACCUGGGGAGUACGUUCGCAGGAAUG
rnacentral:rRNA from 1 species